AUGAACGCUAGCGGCAGGCCUAAUACAUGCAAGUCGAGGGGCAACAGGUGUAGCAAUACAUGCUGGCGACCGGCGCACGGGUGCGUAACGCGUAUGCAAUCUACCUUUAACAGGGGGAUAGCCCGGAGAAAUCCGGAUUAAUACCCCAUAACAUAUUGAGUGGCAUCACUUGAUAUUGAAAGAAUUUCGGUUAAAGAUGAGCAUGCGUAUGAUUAGCUAGUUGGUGAGGUAACGGCUCACCAAGGCAACGAUCAUUAGGGGUACUGAGAGGUUACACCCCCACACGGAUACUGAGACACGGAUCCGACUCCUACGGGAGGCAGCAGUAAGGAAUAUUGGACAAUGGAGGCAACUCUGGUCCAGCCAUGCCGCGUGCAGGAAGAAGGCCCUAUGGAUUGUAAACUGCUUUUGUAACAGAGAAAACUCCAGAUCGUGCAUCUGGACUGAUAGUAUGUUAAGAAUAAGCAUCGGCUAACUUCGUGCCAGCAGCCGCGGUAAGACGAAGGAUGCAAGCGUUAUCCGGAUUCAUUGGGUUUAAAGGGUGCGUAGGCGGAUUUGCAAGUCAGUGGUGAAAUCUCCGGGCUUAACUCGGAAACUGCCAUUGAUACUGCAGAUCUUGAGUACAGAUGAUGUUGGCGGAAUAUGACAUGUAGCGGUGAAAUGCAUAGAUAUGUCAUAGAACACCGAUUGCGAAGGCAGCUGACAAAACUGUAACUGACGCUGAGGCACGAAAGUGUGGGGAUCAAACAGGAUUAGAUACCCUGGUAGUCCACACUGUAAACUAUGAUUACUCGCUGUGUGCGAUAUACAGUUACGCGGCUAAGCGAAAGCGUUAAGUAAUCCACCUGGGGAGUACGCCGGCAACGGUGAAACUCAAAGGAAUUGACGGGGGCCCGCACAAGCGGAGGAGCAUGUGGUUUAAUUCGAUGGUACGCGAGGAACCUUACCAGGGCUUGAAAGUUAGCGACCGACUCUGAAAGGAGUCUUCCCGCAAGGGCGCGAAACUAGGUGCUGCAUGGCUGUCGUCAGCUCGUGCCGUGAGGUGUUGGGUUAAGUCCCGCAACGAGCGCAACCCCUACCAUUAGUUGCCAACAGGUCAAGCUGGGGACUCUAAUGGAACUGCCCGCGCAAGCGGAGAGGAAGGUGGGGAUGACGUCAAGUCAUCACGGCCCUUACGUCCUGGGCUACACACGUACUACAAUGGUCACUACAAAGGGCAGCUACACAGUAAUGUGAUGCAAAUCUCUAAAAGUGAUCUCAGUUCGGAUUGAGGUCUGCAACUCGACCUCAUGAAGCUGGAUUCGCUAGUAAUCGCGCAUCAGCAAUGGCGCGGUGAAUACGUUCCCGGGCCUUGUACACACCGCCCGUCAAGCCAUGAAAGCUGGGAGUAUCUAAAGUCGGUAGCUGUUAAAGGCGCCGCCUGGGGUAAGACCGGUGAUUGGGGCU
rnacentral:rRNA from 1 species